GGUGGGGUAGGGCGGCUGACGCCCGGUUUAGGCGGAGAGCGCCGGGCAGAGGGGGAGGGGGACGAAGCUGGUGGCGAAGCGGCUCAGGAGAACCGGGGCUGGAGGAGCGGCAAGAGUACCCAGAAAGUGCCCUCUCCGCGGGGGUCUGCGGCCAAGGAGGAUCCUGCUCGUGGAAUAGCUACCAAAUCGGCCUCCAGCCCACCCCAGGGGCGGGGUAGAGAAAGGGCAAACUGUGACCGGGACUUGUGCACCCGAUUAAUUGAAUAUUAAUCACCCCAAGGCCUAGGCCAACCGCCACCCAGAGAGUGGCAGCUGCAGAACCCAAAGACGUGGAGCCGGGCUGGGGGUGGGGAAGGGAGGCCGCCACAGCUCCCGCCCCGCCGGCAGUUUAACUGCUUCCGCAGCCUCAGGCCUCCCGGUGCGACCCCGGCUGCGACUCGGAUCCGUUUAUUCCAAAUGUCCCAGCCCACGCCGUGCCCAGAGUGUGGCGACACGAGGCCAAACUGCGUAGCAACGACGCCUGAUUGGCUGCGCUGGUCCCUUCGCAACGAGGCGAUUGGCUGCCUGGUAUCCAGGAGACCGACGUCAAACUCGGACUGGGAAAAGGGGAAAGUCUGGGGGGAGCGAAGGAGGGGACGGGGAGAAAGAAGCAAUGAAUGAAACGCCCAUCGCCUGGCCUUCCCCUUUCCCCUUUCCCCUCUCCUCUCCAUUCUUGGAGCACUUCCUGGAAAAACACCAGUUGGGGCGCCGCCUUCCCCUCCAAACGUUGGGGCCUGCACUCUCAACCUGCUAUAAGGAAGUUAAACCGCAGCUCACCGAGGAGUAGGGUGUCUACGGGGCGGGCCCGUGUAGACCAGCUGUGCUCCUCGGGCACAAACCCGCCGUACAUGCCAGGCCUAGAAGCUUUUGGCUUUGUGGACGCAAAAUCUGGUUGGAGCCGCCUUCUCCACCCUGACUCUCCCGCCUCUCCUUUUUAGAAGGAACCGCACUGAGAAAGGGUAUUUCUGAAGGCUCAAUGCGUAGGAGAAGGGGUGGGAAGAUGGGUUUGUGGAAUGGGCUGAGGGUGGGGAGUGGUCAGGUGACUGAUUUCAUGUUUAUUGUACAGAUUCCUAAAACAUAGUUUUACUAAGUGACUCCUUAAAUUCUGAUUAAUGUGAUUUUUUUUUUUUUUUGAGUGUUUGGGUUUUUUAGUUGCAAACAGGAGUGGAAUUGAAAUGUGAAAGUAUGGCAAAACUGUGAAAGCAUUUAAAUUAAAAUGUCCCUUCCUCUGCAUUGAAAUGUCAUCAAAGCGUCAAAUAUAAAUGAUUUGUUCAGUUUUCUUUUUUUAUUUGUUUGUUUUUGGUUUUCUGUAAUGACAAGUCCAUCUGUAAUAAAAGUGAGUUAUUUUUAGUUUUCUAAUUAAGCACAGAAAUUUCAAGAAACUAGACAGGAUAUCCUUGGAAUGCCUUACCAAAAGAAACACUUCAUUUUUCACGUGUUCUAGAAGCACAACUUCUUUUACCAUUAGGCAAAUAAUGGUACUGUACCAAACAUCUAGAACUGCGGGACCAUGUGUCUUGAUUAGUAAUUUUAUAUUGGG
rnacentral:lncRNA from 1 species